UACAGAGGGGGCGAGCGUUGUUCGGAAUUACUGGGCGUAAAGGGCGCGUAGGCGGCCUUCUAAGUCGAACGUGAAAUCCCCGGGCUCAACCCGGGAACUGCGUCCGAUACUGGGAGGCUUGAGUCCGGGAGAGGGUCGCGGAAUUCCUGGUGUAGAGGUGAAAUUCGUAGAUAUCAGGAGGAACACCGGUGGCGAAGGCGGCGACCUGGACCGGUACUGACGCUGAGACGCGAAAGCGUGGGGAGCAAACAGG
rnacentral:rRNA from 1 species